rnacentral:rRNA from 1 species
UCCUGACACAGGGAGGUAGUGACAAGAAAUAACAAUACAGGGCUCUUUCGAGUCUUGUAAUUGGAAUGAGUACAAUUUACAUCUCUUCACGAGGAUCAAUUGGAGGGCAAGUCUGGUGCCAGCAGCCGCGGUAAUUCCAGCUCCAAUAGCGUAUAUUAAAGUUGUUGCAGUUAAAACGCUCGUAGUCGGAUUUCGGGGCNGGUUUGCCGGUCUGCCGAUGGGUAUGCACUGGUNNAANNGUCCUUCCUUCCGGAGACGGCGCCUNCUCUUAACUGAGCGGGUGUCGGAGACGGAUCGUUUACUUUGAAAAAAUCAGAGUGUUUCAAGCAGGCAGCUCGCUUUUGCAUGGAUUAGCAUGGGAUAAUGAAAUAGGACUUUGGUGCUAUUUUGUUGGUUUCGAACACCGAAGUAAUGAUUAACAGGGACA